rnacentral:misc_RNA from 1 species
AACUUUUGGCAAUGGAUCUCUUGGUUCUGGCGUCGAUGAAGAACGCAGCGAAAUGCGAAACGUAGUGUGAAUUGCAGAAUUCCGUGAAUCAUCGAAUCUUUGAACGCACAUUGCACUCCCUGGUAUUCCGGGGAGUAUGCCUGUUCGAGCGUCAUUUACACCCUCAAGCUCUGCUUGGUGUUGGGCGUCUGUCCCCGCUCCCGCGCGGACUCGCCCUAAAGUCAUUGGCAGCGGUCAUGCCAGCUUCUCGCGCAGCACAUUUGCGCUUCUCGAAGCCUGGCGGACACGCGUCCAGCAAGCUCACUUUAUGACUUGACCUCGGAUCAGGUAGGGAUACCCGCUGAACUUAAGCAUAUCAAUAAGCGGAGGCU